GAGCUGAACCAACAGAUUCACUUCGGUGAUGACGUUGGGAACGCGAGCGGCGGAUGGGUGAGUAACACGUGGGGAACCUGCCCCAUAGUCUGGGAUACCACUUGGAAACAGGUGCUAAUACCGGAUAAGAAAGCAGAUCGCAUGAUCAGCUUAUAAAAGGCGGCGUAAGCUGUCGCUAUGGGAUGGCCCCGCGGUGCAUUAGCUAGUUGGUAGGGUAACGGCCUACCAAGGCAAUGAUGCAUAGCCGAGUUGAGAGACUGAUCGGCCACAUUGGGACUGAGACACGGCCCAAACUCCUACGGGAGGCAGCAGUAGGGAAUCUUCCACAAUGGACGAAAGUCUGAUGGAGCAACGCCGCGUGAGUGAAGAAGGUUUUCGGAUCGUAAAGCUCUGUUGUUGGUGAAGAAGGAUAGAGGUAGUAACUGGCCUUUAUUUGACGGUAAUCAACCAGAAAGUCACGGCUAACUACGUGCCAGCAGCCGCGGUAAUACGUAGGUGGCAAGCGUUGUCCGGAUUUAUUGGGCGUAAAGCGAGCGCAGGCGGAAGAAUAAGUCUGAUGUGAAAGCCCUCGGCUUAACCGAGGAACUGCAUCGGAAACUGUUUUUCUUGAGUGCAGAAGAGGAGAGUGGAACUCCAUGUGUAGCGGUGGAAUGCGUAGAUAUAUGGAAGAACACCAGUGGCGAAGGCGGCUCUCUGGUCUGCAACUGACGCUGAGGCUCGAAAGCAUGGGUAGCGAACAGGAUUAGAUACCCUGGUAGUCCAUGCCGUAAACGAUGAGUGCUAAGUGUUGGGAGGUUUCCGCCUCUCAGUGCUGCAGCUAACGCAUUAAGCACUCCGCCUGGGGAGUACGACCGCAAGGUUGAAACUCAAAGGAAUUGACGGGGGCCCGCACAAGCGGUGGAGCAUGUGGUUUAAUUCGAAGCAACGCGAAGAACCUUACCAGUCUUGACAUCUAGUGCAAUCCGUAGAG
rnacentral:rRNA from 1 species